rnacentral:rRNA from 1 species
UACAGAGGUCCCAAGCGUUGUUCGGAUUCACUGGGCGUAAAGGGUGCGUAGGCGGUCGGGUAAGUCUGAUGUGAAAUCUCACAGCUUAACUGUGAAACUGCAUUGGAUACUAUCCGGCUCGAGGAAUGGAGGGGAGACUGGAAUACUUGGUGUAGCGGUGAAAUGCGUAGAGAUCCGGAGGAACACCAGUGGCGAAGGCGGCCUUCUGGGUCGACCCUGACGCUGAGAGGCGAAAGCGUGGGGAGCGAACGGG